rnacentral:rRNA from 1 species
AUUGAACGCUGGCGGCAGGCUUAACACAUGCAAGUCGAGCGGGGGAAGGUAGCUUGCUACUGGACCUAGCGGCGGACGGGUGAGUAAUGCUUAGGAAUCUGCCUAUUAGUGGGGGACAACAUCUCGAAAGGGAUGCUAAUACCGCAUACGUCCUACGGGAGAAAGCAGGGGAUCUUCGGACCUUGCGCUAAUAGAUGAGCCUAAGUCGGAUUAGCUAGUUGGUGGGGUAAAGGCCUACCAAGGCGACGAUCUGUAGCGGGUCUGAGAGGGUGAUCCGCCACACUGGGACUGAGACACGGCCCAGACUCCUACGGGAGGCAGCAGUGGGGAAUAUUGGACAAUGGGGGGAACCCUGGUCCAGCCAUGCCGCGUGUGUGAAGAAGGCCUUAUGGUUGUAAAGCACUUUAAGCGAGGAGGAGGCUACUUUAGUUAAUACCUAGAGAUAGUGGACGUUACUCGCAGAAUAAGCACCGGCUAACUCUGUGCCAGCCGCCGCAGUAA